GAUGAACGCUGGCGGCGUGCUUAAUACAUGCAAGUCGAACGGAGACUUUGUAGCAAUACUCUGUCUUAGUGGCGAACGGGUGAGUAACGCGUUGGUGACCUGCCCCGAAGCGGGGGAUAACAGCUCGAAAGGGCUGCUAAUACCCCAUGUGACCCUGAGGGUUAGAGACCUCAUGAUUAAAGGAGCAAUCCGCUUCGGGAGGGGCCUGCGUCCCAUCAGCUAGUUGGUAGGGUAAUGGCCUACCAAGGCGACGACGGGUAGGGGACCUGAGAGGGUGACCCCCCACACUGGCACUGAAACACGGGCCAGACACCUACGGGUGGCAG
rnacentral:rRNA from 1 species